CCACAUUGGGACUGAGACACGGCCCAAACUCCUACGGGAGGCAGCAGUGGGGAAUCUUCCGCAAUGGACGAAAGUCUGACGGAGCAACGCCGCGUGAGUGAUGAAGGAUUUCGGUCUGUAAAGCUCUGUUGUUUAUGACGAACGUGCAGUGUGUGAACAAUGCAUUGCAAUGACGGUAGUAAACGAGGAAGCCACGGCUAACUACGUGCCAGCAGCCGCGGUAAUACGUAGGUGGCGAGCGUUGUCCGGAAUUAUUGGGCGUAAAGAGCAUGUAGGCGGCUUAAUAAGUCGAGCGUGAAAAUGCGGGGCUCAACCCCGUAUGGCGCUGGAAACUGUUAGGCUUGAGUGCAGGAGAGGAAAGGGGAAUUCCCAGUGUAGCGGUGAAAUGCGUAGAUAUUGGGAGGAACACCAGUGGCGAAGGCGCCUUUCUGGACUGUGUCUGACGCUGAGAUGCGAAAGCCAGGGUAGCGAACGGGAUUAGAUACCCCGGUAGUCCUGGCCGUAAACGAUGGGUACUAGGUGUAGGAGGUAUCGACCCCUUCUGUGCCGGAGUUAACGCAAUAAGUACCCCGCCUGGGGAGUACGGCCGCAAGGUUGAAACUCAAAGGAAUUGACGGGGGCCCGCACAAGCGGUGGAGUAUGUGGUUUAAUUCGAAGCAACGCGAAGAACCUUACCAGGGCUUGACAUCCCGGUGACCGGCUUAGAGAUAAGCCUUUCUCUUCGGAGACGCCGGUGACAGGUGGUGCAUGGUUGUCGUCAGCUCGUGUCGUGAGAUGUUGGGUUAAGUCCCGCAACGAGCGCAACCCUUAUUGUUAGUUGCUACGCAAGAGCACUCUAGCGAGACUGCCGUUGACAAAACGGAGGAAGGUGGGGACGACGUCAAAUCAUCAUGCCCCUUAUGACCUGGGCUACACACGUAAUACAAUGGCGGUCAACAAAGGGAUGCAAAGCCGCGAGGCAGAGCGAACCCCAAAAAGCCGUCCCAGUUCGGAUCGCAGGCUGCAACCCGCCUGCGUGAAGUCGGAAUCGCUAGUAAUCGUGGGUCAGCAUACCACGGUGAAUACGUUCCCGGGCCUUGUACACACCGCCCGUCACACCAUGAGAGUCGGGAACACCCGAAGUCCGUAGCCUAACCGUAAGGAGGGCGCGGCCGAAGGUGGGUUCGAUAAUUGGGGUGAAGUCGUAACAAGGUAGCCGUUCGAGAACGAGCGGCUG
rnacentral:rRNA from 1 species